UGGGGGCUCCCUCCGAACAGUGAGUUGCAUGUGUUGGUCACAGGGACAAGUGAAUGUUAGUAAGCUAAUGAGAUCAUUUUUUGGAACUAUACGCCAAGUCCUCAAACUAAAUGUUUAUAGCUAAUGUUUUGUUAUGAUAAUUUGCCAUUGAGGUGUACACCCUCAUGCCCACAAACACACACGUUAUGGAAAUUUGUUCCUCGAAUUAAUACCUAUGCAGCCCACCAUGGAUUCUGCACGUCCCAACAUCACCUGGGCUCAUAUCUUAUCUCCGAAACCAUUAGAAGGCCACUGUCAUGCCGAGAAAGGGAACAGAGUGGUUUUUAGGGACUGAAAUGCAAGUCCCUGCGGGAUCACUUGUUAGAGAUUAAGCUGUUUCCAAAGCUGUGGUCCUGGGAAAGAGGCUUAAUGAGGGAGAAAGAGGCAGGGACGCCACGGACCGGUUAGGCGGCACGUUCCUGCUCAGCAGGCACUGUGGCUGUUAUGCUGCCCUCUGUGGCGGUCAGAAUAUGCGUGUCCCCAGAAGACAGCAGCUGACAGGGCAUGCGGCAGCACUCACAAGAGGUCAUGACCCAUACUUGUUUGCAAGUUCAAGGCAGGUAAAAUAACCUCUCAGUCAUUUUUGUCUUCUUAGCCCCAAAACCUGCUUUCCUGUCUUUUUCUCCCUUAGGAAUUACUCUGCCUCCCCCACCCCAAGGGACCUCAUCCUGACCUAUGCCACAACAUUCAGGGUUGACAGCCACCUGCAAGCUGGCCAGUCCAAACCCCAGGCAUGCCUCCCCUUCUCUCCACGACGCUCCUGGGCAGGGAACAUCUGGGUCCCGCCAGCCCAGCCCUCCCUUGCUGGCAUUUUGCCCAGCUCCUUUCCCUCUCUCCUGAGCUUACUCUAUCUGCAAAGCCAGGAGAGCGACCUGUGUUUCUUCUCAUACUACAGGUCACCCGCGGCAUAAACGGCUUAAUGUGGAUGUACUUUAAGGAAAGGGAGGAAAACCAAACAACUUAGAAAAUCAACCAUCCCCCCUCCCUGCCAAGCCUUGGUUCUCGACGGUGUCUGUGCACAUCAAGAUUGCAGCGAUGUGCGGGGGCCUCGGGCACGCAGUGUUGCAGUAUUUUCUGAAAGGCUUUGCUCGCUCUCUUCAGUACUUUUCCUCUUCUCACAGCCUGGAGCCUGCAGAGAAAUAGCCCUGGUUCCCCCUAGUGGCAGAAGCUCAUAGCGCCGACCUGGGACACUUCCCACGAUCGUGGUAAUUAGCCAGUAGUUUAGUUACAACCACACUCUCAUUAACUAACAGCGGGAGAAGAGACUGUCCCUGUUUCCUUGGAGACCUAGCAGCGCGUGCUUCUAUUGCAUUGACUGUUCCUGUAAGCUCAAAAGCCCCCAGGUUGUUAUCGCAUAGUGUUUACUGCAUUGGAUGGAGACCAAGACCUGGUAACACUGUGUUCCCCGCCGGUGCUUCUCAAAGUGUGGUCCUUGACCUAUGCAUCAGCAUCACCUGGGAGCUGGAUAGAAAUGCAAAUUCUCAGGCCUCUUACGCCUACUGAGUCCAUAACUCGGGGGUUCAGAGCCCAGGAAUCUGCAUUUUGACAAGUUCUCCAGCUGAUUCUGAUCCACAAUGAAGAAUGAGGACUGACCUAGACAAAGCAUGCCCUGGUAUUUUGUUCCUAUUAAUAACCAGAAACAGCUGGGCACAGUGGCUCACACCUGUUAUCCCAGCACUUUGGGAGGCCGAGGCAGGCAGAUCACCUGAGGUCAAGAGUUUGAGACCAGCCUGACCAACAUGGAGAAACCCCAUCUCUACUAAAAAUAUAAAAUUAGCCGGGCGUGGUGGCACAUGCCUGUAAUCCCAGCUACUCAGGAGGCUGGAGAUUCGCUUGAACCCGGGAGGCGGAGGUUGCAGUGAGCCAAGAUCACGCCAUUGCACUCCAGCCUGGGCGACAAGAGGGAAACUGAAAAAAAAAAAAAAAACAGAGACUUUUCCCAUUAAAGAGCUAAACAAAAGGAAGUGGAAAGAUACUUCUUCCUUGUUCCAAGCAAUAUGUACCCAAUAUGAUUCCAAUCAAUAACAUUUAUGUAUUGACUGGAAUGAGAAAUGCCUUCUCCCAGGUUUGUCUCUAAGGAGAUUCCCCUACUCCCCCCAUCGUCAUCCACUUCGUCAUCUAAACCCGCCUUGGAAUGGAGUCACUGAAGCAUCUCCAAGAGAUGAAGCAGUACUUGGAAAUUAAAAGCAGUGAGGACUCUGUCACCAGCAGGCGAGGUGGCCUCACAGAGCCCCCUGAGCUGGCACCGGCUGGCACAAGGAGGAAACCUGGAGAUCACCUAAAUCAACUUCCCGCUUGCCAGAGGGGGAAACCAAGGCCCUGAGUGGAAGACUGACACCAGAGGAAAAAGGGUUGCAUACAAGGUCACCUUCCAUGUCUCCCCUCCUCACUCCGGGUCCAGUGAUCAGACUAAUAUUUUAAUUUAAAAGAAAAGAAACGACACAUGAAAAUGGCCCCAAACUGAGUCUCUGGACUGAAGAGGCUGAGUUCUGAGGUUGCCAGAUUUAGCAAAAACAAACAAAAAAGGACACCAGGAACCGUGUGCCUAAUGUCCAACACCUCCACAACAAUGCACGUAACGUGACUGCGGAGCAUCCAGAAAGAGAAAAGCUUAACAACCUGCAGAGGGACAGAAGUUCACGUACAAAGCAAUCAGAAAAGCGUUGACUUCUUGCAGCAAGGGUGGAAGUUAGGAAACAGCAAAGCAAUGCUUUCAAAAUUCUAAGAAACCAUGAUACCCAUUCUGGAAUUUAACAUCCAUCCAGUAAUUAAUAAAGUUUGAGAACUGCAUAAAGGCAUUUUUAGGCAUGAAAGCUCAAAACUGUACUUUCCAUUUACCCUUUCUUACCCUACUGAAGGGUUUGUCCCAUCCAGAGAAGAAAUAAACCAAGAAAGAAGCAACAUAUAGCCCAGGAAAACGAAGACCCAAUGUAGAAGGGAAGGAAAAAGAUUCCCAGGACACCAGCUGUACAGGGCAGAGAGAAAGCAGGCAAGACAGUGGGGGAGGGAAGCUUCCGCAAUGGAAGGCUCCAGGAGGAAAGGAACUGAAUGGUCCAGAGCCUGAUGCAUCUGAUCCCAUAGAAAACCAUGUUUAGAGGGUUUUUUCCAACUCUGUUGGAAAAUCUGGAAAGAAUUAUAAACAGGAACACUGAAAAUUAAGCAGGUGAAGAAAAUGAGGCAAUUAUUAACAAAAUGUUUACAAGAGAUUAAAUGAACAUUAUAAUAUACUGCUUGACAAUGCAGAAAAUAGUCUUUGAUAGUGAUAAUGACAGAUACACUGAACACUGAUUUAACCAAAAAAUUAUGGGGGAGGCAAAGAAAGUGGUAGACAACAUACAUGUACAAAGGCAAGAGGUAAUGCCCAUCAUGCAGAGUCACAGUCCUUAUGGUAGCCCAAAGGCCCUAUGCAAUCUGUGUCACCCUGGCUUACCCCACCCAAAUUACUCUCCUCCUCAUUCACUUUCCUCCAGCAGUAAAGGCCCCUUUGCUGUUCUGUUCCUCAGUUACCCCAUGUCCUCCCACCUCAGGGCCUUUGCACAUGCUGUUCCCGUUGCUUAGCAUGUCCUUCCCCUAAUAUCCACAAGGUCCAGUCCUCCCAUCCUUCAGGCUCUGUGCUCAGAUGCCAUCUUCUCAGUAAGGUCACCGCCUUCUCCCACUACGUCAUUUAACACUGUACUUCUUCCCUGACAUUCCCUACAUCACCUCUGCUGUUGUUCACUUUUCUCCAUAUUAUUUAUAAUCAUCUCUAUAAAGGGCACCACCUCAUUAUAAUGAGAUGGUUAUAGUAAUAUUUUAUUUAAACAUUUGCUUAUUCUCCCUACUGGAAGGAAAGCACCACGAGGACAGGGAAUUCUGUUUGCUACAUGUAUCCAUAAUUUGUUUGCCGAUGCAUCCAUGGUUAGAACAGAGUGACUGGCACAUAGUAGGUGCUUUAGAAAAUGAAAAAGUAAAUCAAGAAAUAGCAACGUCUGCAUUUACUGGGAAAAAAUAAAGGUCAAUCCCAGAAAACGAACUUAAAAUAAUUGAAAGUGGUCCCCCUGUGGAUUGGCUUCAUGGUAAGGAAGAGAGAGACAUGGGCAAGCUGGUUUUCCUUGGAAGCCUUAUACUAUUGAUAUGGUUUUGGAUCUGUCUCCACCCAAACUUUAUGUCAAAUGUAAUCUCCAAUAUUAGAGGUAGGUCCUGGUGGGAGGUGACUGGGUAAUGGGGGUGGAGUUCUCAUGAAUGGUUUGGCACCAUGUCCUUGGUGCUGUCCUUGAGAUAGCGAGUGAGUUCUCAUGAUAUCUGGUUGUUUUAAAGUAUGUGGCACUGCCCACCUCGCUCUCUUGCUUCUGGUUUCGCCACGUGAACUGCCUGCUCCCACUUUGACUUCUACCGUGAGUAAAAGCUCCCUGAAGCCUCCCCAGAAGCAGAUGCCUCCAUGCUUCCUGUACAACCCACAGAACCGUGAGCCAAUUAAACCUCUUUUCUUAUAAAUUAUCCACUCUCAGGUAUUUCCUUAUAGCAACGUGAGAAUGGCCUAACGUAACUAUUGUUUCGCUUUUCAAACUGUGUGCAUAUAUUACUUUAAUAAAAAGUAAAGAAUUUUUGGCCAGGCGCAGUGGCUCACGCCUGUAGUCCCAGCACUUUGGGAGGCCGAGGCAGG
rnacentral:lncRNA from 1 species